AUGGCUCAGGAUAAACGCUGGCGGCGUGCUUAACACAUGCGAGUCAACGGGGUAUCCUCGGACGAUCAAAGAGCUUGCUCGGAGAGAAUCUUUGGAAUACUUAGUGGCGGACGGGUGAGUAACGCGUGGGUAACCUGCCUCACACUGGGGGAUAGCAGUUGGAAACGACUGAUAAUACCGCAUAAGCGCACGGUAUCGCAUGAUACAGUGUGAAAAACUCCGGUGGUGUGAGAUGGACCCGCGUCUGAUUAGCUAGUUGGUGAGGUAACGGCCCACCAAGGCGACGAUCAGUAGCCGGCCUGAGAGGGUGUACGGCCACAUUGGGACUGAGACACGGCCCAAACUCCUACGGGAGGCAGCAGUGGGGAAUAUUGCACAAUGGGGGAAACCCUGAUGCAGCCGACGCCGCGUGAGUGAAGAAGUAUUUCGGUAUGUAAAGCUCUAUCAGCAGGGAAGAUAAUGACAGUACCUGACCAAGAAGCCCCGGCUAACUACGUGCCAGCCGCCGC
rnacentral:rRNA from 1 species